ensembl:lncRNA
GUGAGGUUUGUCUUUAUGGGACAGUCACAGCCAGAGUUUCAUAUUACUGAGUCCUAACCUGGAUGAAUGAAUGAUCUGGAGCUGGAGUUAGGAGGAGGAGUGUCUUCACGUGUUCAGUUUAGUUUCAUUUUCAUUUCCGGAGAAGCGGAGGUAAGUCAGAGACUCGUAGAGCUGUUUGUAGUGAUUCUGUGAUAAAUGAAGUACUGAUUUCAGGAAAUGAUCGGACAUGAAUGAGAUAAACUGAAUUAGUGCGCAGGUAAACACGCAGAGCUGCAGUUUAAACCAUUGAGAGGAAGUGAUGGAAUCUGUCGGUAUAACGCAAAGUCAUGGUUAAACCUGUGGACGCUGGAAUAAUCCGAGUAUACACACACACAUACACAUAUAUAUGUAUUUGUAUAUAUGUGUGUGUGUGUGUGUGUGUGUGUGUGUGUCUAACGACUCUGUGCGUGUUUCGAGAGAUUGUUCCAGAAGCUUUGUCCUGGUGAGAAGGUAUGUGUGUUUAAUCUAGAAAGAAGACAUGAAGAGGAGAAGAACUUGGGCGAGACCCCUACCUCUUGAUGAUGAUGAUGAGAAUGAUGAUGAGAAUGAUAACAAUGAUGAAGAAGAGGAGGAAGAAGAAAGUACUUCUGACAGAAGAGAUAGUUUAAGAAAACGAAAGAAAGUCAAUUACUGGACAGAUGCUCAUGUUGAUGGAGAGGAUGAGGAGGAUGAGUACGAGGAGGAUGAGGAGGAAGGUGAGGAGGAAGGUGAACACAGCCAGACAACACCAGAAAACAAAAGAGCUGCUGACCACGGUGGGAUACCACAGGAGAAGGAGGGAAACAGCAAAGCAAACCACACCAUCAGGUCGCGAGUCUCCGUGUAGUGUGGCAUCAGAAGAGGAAUCAACUGGAAGCAAAAAUG